rnacentral:rRNA from 1 species
AUUGAACGCUGGCGGCAGGCCUAACACAUGCAAGUCGAACGGUAACAGGAAGACGCUUGCUUCUUUGCUGACGAGUGGCGGCCGGGUGAGUAAUGUCUGGGAAACUGCCUGAUGGAGGGGGAUAACUACUGGAAACGGUAGCUAAUACCGCAUAACGUCGCAAGACCAAAGAGGGGGACCUUCGGGCCUCUUGCCAUCGGAUGUGCCCAGAUGGGAUUAGCUAGUAGGUGGGGUAACGGCUCACCUAGGCGACGAUCCCUAGCUGGUCUGAGAGGAUGACCAGCCACACUGGAACUGAGACACGGUCCAGACUCCUACGGGAGGCAGCAGUGGGGAAUAUUGCACAAUGGGCGCAAGCCUGAUGCAGCCAUGCCGCGUGUAGGAAGAAGGCCUUCGGGUUGUAAAGUACUUUCAGCGGGGAGGAAGGGAGUAAAGUUAAUACCUUUACUCAUUGACGUUACCCGCAGAAGAAGCACCGGCUAACUCCGUG